rnacentral:rRNA from 1 species
GACGAACGCUGGCGGCGUGCCUAACACAUGCAAGUCGAACGAGGUCCAUCCUUCGGGAGAAGACCUAGUGGCGAACGGGUGAGUAACACGUGAAGAACCUGCCCCGAAGACCGGGAUAACCCUCCGAAAGGAGAGCUAAUACUGGAUACCCCCACCGAACCGCAUGGUUUGGUGAGGAAAUGGAUUCCGCUUCGGGAGGGCUUCGCGGCCUAUCAGCUAGUUGGUGGGGUAACGGCCCACCAAGGCAUCGACGGGUAGCUGGUCUGAGAGGACGAUCAGCCACACUGGGACUGAGACACGGCCCAGACUCCUACGGGAGGCAGCAGUUGGGGAAUCUUGCGCAAUGGGCGAAAGCCUGACGCAGCAACGCCGCGUGGGGGAUGAAGGCUCUCGGGUUGUAAACCCUUUCAGCAGGGACGAAUCAAGACGGUACCUGCAGAAGAAGCCCGGCUAACUACGUGCCAGCAGCCGCGGUAAU